GGCUAGUUUUAUCCCCUGGUCCAGGAAUGGAUACAUGGUCCAGACCUAGCCCAUCAAAACACUGGCAUCCUCUGGGCAGCUGCUGCUAAUACCAAGGCACUGUCCAGGUGUUAAUCCUGGGGUUGCUGCAAAUUGUCAUCUGUUCCCCGGGUCUGCCUUCCUCCUGGUCUCUCUCGGUUGCCUCACUGGAAGUGCAGACUCGAGCGGGUGUGAGCCAGGACCCCCACCUGUGGGGGACUUUUGCACCACAAUCCCCUGCCUCACAUACAAGCCAGGACCAGGAACAUGCACUGUGUAUAAGUUCCCUAGGUGAUCCUGAUCUGCUUCAACUCUCAGGGCGAGCCUUGCAGAGUCGUGGGGAAGAUGGGCCGGCAGGCUUGGCUGCAAAUGAAAACCAAACACAUUCUAAAUUAUGAAAUUCACAAAAAAAUCCUUAGAAACCAGGCUCUUUCAUUCAGAUCUUGAGGACCGGAUGUCGUAUCCUUGGCAACGCGGUUGCAGAAAAACAAGUCUUUUCCCACUGGCCUGCUUUGUAUUAAGAUGAGGAGGC
rnacentral:lncRNA from 1 species